AGCUGGUAAAAAAAAAAAAAAAACUCAACAAUUAUAUGUAUUCUUAUUCUGAUUUUUCCAUUAGAGUACAAAGGCGACUCCCUGGAAUAAAAGUAGGAGAGCAGCAAGAAAUGUGACUUUAUUGAACUCUACCAGGGUACUAGUUUACUUAAAUCAGACACUUUCAUGAACAAUUGCAGUGAACUGGCAUAAACUUAAAAAGAAUUAUACUGCAAGACCGCAGGUGUCAAACUGAAGGCCCAGGGGCCACAUCUGGGCCACCACAUGAUUUUAUGUGGCCCGCCAAGCCAAAUCUAGUGUCAAUUUCCAUGAUUCUUGUAAAAAUCGGUGCCAAAAUUUCAAAUUGUCAUGUAUCAUAAAUGAUAAUGUUGAGAUAUCCCAAGCAUGUUUGUGUUAUCAAACAUGAAGAGUUGAAAAGAACACAUUACCCUAGAUUUCUGAUUCCAAAAGUAGAUCAUAAAUUGAUGAUGUCAAUACAACGAGACGAUUAAAUAUUUGUAUUGUUUCACAGUCAUAACGGCCCUCCGAGGGAAACCGGAACCACAAUGUGACGAGUUUGACACCCCCUGCUGUAAACAAAUGCAGUCCAAUUCAGCCUUUGGUCGGGGCGACGUCACGUCAAGCAAAACACGAACGGUACAGCAAUUAUUUUGAAACGACUAUAUGAGUUUUUGGAAGUUAUUUUUAAACAAUAAUAAUAAAAAAAGUCCUGAUCUAGAUUGACGGUAAGUGCUUUCAUAGUGUUUACCAAAUGUUUAAGAAUCGCGAGGGAAUGUUAGCAGUCGCCAUGGUGACUGGCAGUGGAACUAAAGGGGAAAAGACGUCACACAAUUUUUUUUUUUUUGUUUUGGCGUUGAGAUGGUCAACCCAAAAAUUGUGUGUUAGCAUAUGUGUGUGUGUGUGUUCUUGUCUCCUGGAGAGCAGAGACAACAGCUGAUAUAAUUCCGGCCUGGCAAGAAUGUGCGCUGCGACGACGCGCUCUGGGGGCAGCCGAGCCUGGACGGCUUCACCGCUGAGGUGAUUGUGGUUCUCCUCGCCCCACUACAAAGCUGUCACGGUGUUGGCAUGCGUGUUUGCGCCAACUGCUAAUACGCACCAUACAGAGUACUGCAUGUGCGUGCGUGAGGUAUGUGCCAGGGUGGGGCAAAUGUCAGAAGAGCCCCGUUGGAGUCAGCUGGGAAAACUUCGCAGAAGGAAGGGGCCGCAUACAGGAAGGUCGCGGGGAGUGCUGGAGCCUAUCCCAGCUGUCAACGGGCAGGAGGCAGAGGAGUGCCAGCCAAUGGCAGGGCACAGCCACACAUCCAUUUUCUAUAGAACUUGGCCUCACUGGGGUUGCAAGUGAGCACCCUGGACUGGUCGCCGGCCCAUCGGAGUGGGGGGGCACACAAGUCAAACAGUGGUUCACAUUUAGACCUAUGGACAAUUGAGAGUCUACAAUCAAUCGCACAUGCAUGCUUUUGGAAUGCAGGAGGAAGCCAGAGCACCUGAAAAUAACCCACCCAAGUGCCUAUUACUAUCCAUCCAUCCAUCCAUUUUCUUAGCCGCUUAUCCUCACGAGGGACAUAGGGCGUGCUGGAGCCUUUCCCAGCUGUCAACGGGCAAGAGGCGGGGUACACCCUGAACUGGUCGCCAGUCAACCGCAGGGCACAUGGAGACAAACAGCCGCACUCACAAUCACACCGAGGGGCAAUUUAUAGUGUCCAAUGAAUGUUUUUUGGGGGGGAUAUUGGAGUGGCCGGAGGAAACCCACGCAGCCAAGGGGAGAACAUGCAAACUCCACACAGGCGGGUCCUGGAUCGAACCCGGGACCUCAGAACUGUGACGCUGUCAACACUUUCCAGCCGUCAGUGCCCAUCACGAGCCUUCCUUA